UGAGGAAUAUUGGUCAAUGGACGAGAGUCUGAACCAGCCAAGUCGCGUGAAGGAAGACGGCCCUACGGGUUGUAAACUUCUUUUGUAAGGGAAUAAAUAGUCUUACGCGCUAAGACGUUGCAGGUACCUUACGAAUAAGGAUCGGCUAACUCCGUGCCAGCAGCCGCGGUAAUACGGAGGAUCCGAGCGUUAUCCGGAUUUAUUGGGUUUAAAGGGUGCGCAGGCGGCAUGUUAAGUCGGCGGUGAAAUUUUGCAGCUCAACUGUAAAAGAGCCUUCGAAACUGGCAAGCUUGAGUGUGGAUGAAGUAGGCGGAAUUUGUGGUGUAGCGGUGAAAUGCAUAGAUAUCACAAAGAACACCGAUUGCGCAGGCAGCUUACUAAACCAUAACUGACGCUCAUGCACGAAGGCGUGGGGAUCAAACA
rnacentral:rRNA from 1 species